CUCGACGCCGCAGCCGGCUGGCCGAGAUCAAGGAGGCGUGGGAGGAGAACCCGGACGUCUACGGCAUCCGACGGUCGGGCCGCGAGCGCAAGGAGCCCGAGCGGCUGACAGCCAAGGAGGAGGCGCGCAGAGCCGCCCGCACCAAUGCCAGGAGAUCGUCAGCGGUGUGG